rnacentral:rRNA from 1 species
CCCUUCGGGGUACUCGAGCGGCGAACGGGUGAGUAACACGUGAGUAAUCUGCCCCAGGCUCUGGGAUAGCCACCGGAAACGGUGAUUAAUACCGGAUACGACAACCGAUUGCAUGAUCUGGUUGUGGAAAGUUUUUCGGCCUGGGAUGUGCUCGCGGCCUAUCAGCUUGUUGGUGAGGUAAUGGCUCACCAAGGCUUCGACGGGUAGCCGGCCUGAGAGGGUGACCGGCCACACUGGGACUGAGACACGGCCCAGACUCCUACGGGAGGCAGCAGUGGGGAAUAUUGGACAAUGGGCGGAAGCCUGAUCCAGCAACGCCGCGUGAGGGAUGACGGCCUUCGGGUUGUAAACCUCUUUCAGCACAGACGAAGCGCAAGUGACGGUAUGUGCAGAAGAAGGACCGGCCAACUACGUGCCAGCAGCCGCGGUAAUACGUAGGGUCCGAGCGUUGUCCGGAAUUAUUGGGCGUAAAGGGCUCGUAGGCGGUCUGUCGCGUCGGGAGUGAAAACCAGGUGCUUAACACCUGGCCUGCUUUCGAUACGGGCAGACUAGAGGUACUCAGGGGAGAAUGGAAUUCCUGGUGUAGCGGUGAAAUGCGCAGAUAUCAGGAGGAACACCGGUGGCGAAGGCGGUUCUCUGGGAGUAUCCUGACGCUGAGGAGCGAAAGUGUGGGGAGCGAACAGGAUUAGAUACCCUGGUAGUCCACACCGUAAACGUUGGGCGCUAGGUGUGGGAUCCAU